GACGAACGCUGGCGGCGUGCUUAACACAUGCAGGUCGAACGGUAAGGCCCUUCGGGGUACACGAGUGGCGAACGGGUGAGUAACACGUGGGUGAUCUGCCCUGCACCUCGGGAUAAGCCUGGGAAACUGGGUCUAAUACCGGAUAGGACCACUGCCUGCAUGGGUGGUGGUGGAAAGCUGUUGCGGUGUGGGAUGGGCCCGCGGCCUAUCAGCUUGUUGGUGGGGUUAUGGCCUACCAAGGCGACGACGGGUAGCCGGCCUGAGUGGGUGACCGGCCACAGUGGGACUGAGAUACGGACCAGGCGCCUACGGGAGGGAGCAGGGGGGAAUAUUGCACAAGUGGCGCAAGCCUGAUGCAGCGACGCCGCGUGAGGGAUGACGGCCUUCGGGUUGUAAACCUCUUUCAGCACCGACGAAGCGCAAGUGACGGUAGGUGCAGAAGAAGGACCGGCCAACUACGUGCCAGCCGCCGCAGUAA
rnacentral:rRNA from 1 species